CCUACGGGUGGCAGCAGUGGGGAAUAUUGCACAAUGGGGGGAACCUUGAUGCAGCAAAGCCGCGUGGGUGAAGAAGUACUCCGGUAUGUAAAGCCCUGUCAGCAGGGAAGAAAAUGACGGUACCUGUCCCAGAAGCCGCGGCUAAAUACGUGCCAGCAGCCGCGGUAAUACGGAGGGGGCAAGCGUUAUCCGGAUUUACUGGGUGUAAAGGGAGUGUAGACGGGAAGGCAAGUCUGGAGUGAAAGCCCGUGGCCCAACCACGGGACUGCCUUGGAAACUGGGUUGCUGGAGUGCAGGAGGGGUAAGCGGAAUGCCUGGUGUAGCGGUGAAAUGCGUAGAGAUUAGGAGGAACACCGGUGGCGAAGGCGGCUUACUGGA
rnacentral:rRNA from 1 species